rnacentral:rRNA from 1 species
ACGGAAGGCAGCAGUGGGGAAUAUUGGGCAAUGGGCGCAAGCCUGACCCAGCAACGCCGCGUGAGGGAAGAAGGUUUUCGGAUUGUAAACCUCUGUCCUCGAGGAAAAGUAAUAGAUGGUACUUGGGGAGGAAGCCCCGGCUAACUACGUGCCAGCAGCCGCGGUAAUACGUAGGGGGCGAGCGUUGUCCGGAAUGACUGGGCGUAAAGGGCGUGUAGGCGGCCGAUUAAGUCUGGAGUGAAAGUCCUGCAUUCAAUGUGGGAAUUGCUUUGGAGACUGGUUGGCUUGAGUGCGGAAGAGGUAAGUGGAAUUCCCAGUGUAGCGGUGAAAUGCGUAGAGAUUGGGAGGAACACCAGUGGCGAAGGCGACUUACUGGGCCGUAACUGACGCUGAGGCGCGAAAGCGUGGGGAGCGAACAGGAUUAGAUACCCUGGUA